GGUGAGGGGGAACUAGGUAGAAAGCCAGAGGCAUAUGAUGUGGUUUUCACCUUCCUCCCAG
rnacentral:miRNA from 1 species